GACGGAGGGGGCUAGCGUUGUUCGGAUUUACUGGGCGUAAAGGGCGCGUAGGCGGUUUAGUAAGUUGGAAGUGAAAGCCCGGGGCUUAACCUCGGAAUUGCUUUCAAAACUGCUAGGCUAGAGUGUAGUAGGGGAUGAUGGAAUUCCUAAUGUAGUAGUGAAAUACUUAGAUAUUAGGAGGAACACCAGUGGCGAAGGCGAUCAUCUGGGCUAUAACUGACGCUGAGGCGCGAAAGCAUGGGGAGCAAACAGG
rnacentral:rRNA from 1 species